rnacentral:rRNA from 1 species
CCUUUACAAUGCACGCAAGUGUGAUAAGGGGAUACUCAGUGCUUACGCUUAUGGUGUAGGUUUUGUUGUGUGUAAAGAGCACGACGAAUAAGUGGUGGGUAAGACUGGUGCCAGCCGCCGCGGUAACACCAGCGCCACGAGUGGUCAUCGCGAUUAUUGGGCCUAAAGCGUUCGUAGCCGGUUUGGUAACUCUCUUGUGAAAUUGUCCUGCUCAACGGGACAGCGUGCAGAAGACACUACCAGACUCGGAGACCGGGAGGGGUCAGAGGUAUUCCAUAGGGACCGGUAAAAUGGGAUAAUCUAUGGAGACCACCGAUGGCGAAGGCAUCUGACCAGAGCGG